UAGCAUUUUCUGACCACUGAAAUGUAACCAACACUUACUUACUUCUGCUGCUACAGUUUGAAUCUUGGCAAUUAGUUCUCAGAGUUACAUGUCAUUUGUUUCUGGUUUCUUGCAGUUGCUGGCAUUGUAUUCCUUUGCUGCAUCCUGGUCAUAUUUUAUCGACACAAGAAGAAAGGGAAAACAGAAGUUAGCGCCUCAUACAGCACUUACCAGGAUAAAUCCGCUUCGCCAGCAGAGUCCACACAGUAAACGGUUUCCACACAGUGCAUCUCCUGAUUCUUUUAGAAUGUUGACAUCGAUGGUAAAUUCAUAUCGCCUCUAUGGAAAACAUAUACGCCUUCCUCGAAAAACUAAAAACCAAACCAACGAAUGAUUCACCAGUUCCACUUGCUGGUAUAUAUCCAAAGGAAACAAACAAACAAACAAAAACACUGCAGCUCUCUGUUCUCUGCAGCAUUAUUUACAACGGCCACCACACGGAUGCCAACCUAAGUGCCCCCGGACAGAUGAAUCGUUAAAAGAAAACAUGGCAUCCAAAUACGGUGGCAGACUGUCCAGCCAUGAAAAAGGAAGGAAAUCUUGCUGUUGGCCACAAAAUGCACGGACCUUCAGGCAUUUUGCUAAGUGAAAUAAGGUCGAACAAAGACAAAAUACUGUAUGAUCUCAUUUGUAGAAUCUAAAAGGAAAAAAAAAAAAAACCCCACAAAACAAAAACAAACCCUAGAAACAGAUUGGGGGUUGCUGGGGGGUGGGGGGCAGAUUCGGCUGAAGGUGGUCAAAAGGGACACACUUCCAGUUCUAAGACUAACAAGUGCUGGGAUGUAAUUAUCGUUCAGUCUGCUGUCAGUAGUAUAUUGUAUUUUUGGAGAGUUGCUGAGCAGAAGACCAACGCUUUUAUAAUUGAAGUAAUGGAUGUGAACUAAGUUCAUUGUGGUAAUCCUUUCAUAGUAUAUACAUUCUCAAAUUAUGCUCCUACACCUUAUACACAAUGUUACGUGUCAGUUAAUAAAACCAGAAAGGGGGAAAGAAAGGAUGUAUAAAAACUAUUCCCUAGGGUUUUUUCCCCCACUUUCAUGAAUGCAACUGUUAAUUAAGCCAUCGUGCUAGCGUUUUAAUGUGCUUUGAAUGUACUCACCAUCUUUCGAUGCUUCUUUGAACCGUAUGUGCAUUUGGGUAUCAACAUCUGGCCUGUUUCUCCUUAAAAUAACACGUGCAUUUAUAGGGCAACUCAAUACAAUAUCCCCGGUAUUUAGGUGCGGAAAUUAUUUUUUAAAAUGAAAUUUCCAACUGUAGACAACUAUAGUGCAAAAUAAAUUACGUUUCCUUUGUAAAGAAAGUGACAAAUCUUUUUUGUAAAAAGAUUAAUGAGAAGUCUUAAGAUUCAUUCUCUCCACAACUCUAAGACAUGUUUUACAUAUUGUUCAGUGUAAAAAGUCUUUCAAAUAUGUGUAUGCUACUCUCACCCUUCACACUAAAAAGAGGAACGCUGAAAAUUGGGAUUUUGAACAAGUUUGACUUCCUUAACUGAGAGAGAAUAUUAUCAGAAAACAAAGUAAAUAGGGUUGAAUUCUAUAUGUUUUUUAACUAUUUGUAGUUUCUUGGUGACUUCCAGAAGCUAGAAAGUUUAUGGCCUUUGUUCUUCACUUUUUCAAACGUCAGUAAACAGCGAAGUCAGGAAUUCAGAAUCCGUUGGAAACUCCUGUACAACUUUAGAGAGUUCUCACACUCAUAAAAGGAAUGGCAGCUGGGGGUACAGAGUGAACCUGUGGCCUAUAAUUUUCUCUAAGACGAUUCUGCUCUUUAAUAAAAUUAGAUUCCACUCUGAAUUCCAGCAACGGGUGAUUUUCUCCCUGUACUUGAAUAAGACGAUGCCUUUAAACAACGUCAUGUAAAAGUAGUGACUUUGGCAGGAAUAUCUCCAUCCGAUAACCUCAGGUUGUAUCAGAAUCUUAGUUCUUACGUGCAUCUCACCUUAACUGCUAAAAACAGUAAAAAUUCAGCCACAUUAUUUCAAGAAAGGAAACUGUGUCCGCUACUGGCCGAACAAAGGGACAGAGAAAGCAAACGGCUGCAGUGGCCCCUGGGGCUCCGGUGGCACUGACCGUGACCUGAGUCCUUACACCAGGCAGAGUCUGAAAUAAGCCACUGGGCAGAGAGGAGGGACGGCCACUCACAUUCAGAGUACAGUUUUACAAAUUUUGUUUUGCACUUUCAUAGUUAGUAGCAUAAGUUAGGCCAAAGAAACGCUGCCUUGAGAAGGACAUGAUUGGGAAUCAUGUUUUACAAGUAUUGGUUUACGGAUAAAGCAUGUUUAUGAUGCACUGUAAGUGUCCCCUUCCUGAGGGAUCGGUGAGGUACUUCGGGAAGAUCCGCUUGAGCAGAAAGAAACAGGAAUUUUGAAUUAAGUACAGAGAUGAAGUUUUACUAUACCCAUUUUCACAUACUUUUCAGGGAUGUAGCACUUGCUCAGGAACAAGAGAUGGCUGUACUGUUGAUUUUUAACAAGCCCAGUUGACUCUUUUGCAACCAAAGAUUGUUAUGCUAUUUUCCAAAAAAAUUGUUAUGUUAUUGUUACGUUGUUUUUCCAAAACAGACUUUUAUACUAGUUUCUGCUUCAAAUUUAUUUUUUUUUAUUUUGUAUAUUUAUACAAAAUUGCUCUCGAUAUAUAAAUCUAAAUUUUGUUUUUCAAAUAAUGGCAAUUAUAUAUGCCAUUAUAUACAUUUAUAUAUAUGGGAUAAAAUGAAAAGUUUCUCUAAUGACGUGGAAAGCAGCAUAUGUGAAAGGUUGCUAAAACCGGAAGAAUGUAUUUGCAGUGAGAUGAGAAGUCCCAUGUGGGGGGGGGGGGGGGGUUUAUUGUUCAUAUUUUGAAAAUGGGAUCUUCAAGUGUUGUGAAAAAUAAAAUCCAAGAUUGGGAGAG